AUGAGAGCCCGAGGCUCAGCAUCGACCUGCGGAAGAAGCUCUGUCCUGAUGGCCGUGGAUGUGGGAAAAUCACCUUCUGAAGAGUCACUGAGCGGGAAGGCCGAGGGCAAUGGCAGGUGGGACGGCGCAGACACGGAGAUGGACAUCCUGGAGCUGGCAGGGAGCCUCCACCAGCUUCUAGGGACAGAGGAAGCCAAGCCCAGCCUGCAAGGCGCAGAAAGCAUGGCAGUGAGCAGGCACAGUCACAUGGCCACUGGUGUUACCCAGGGAGGCUCAAGCUGCCACCCAAAAGUGUCUUCAGCAUUUGUGCCCAGAUUUUCCAGAGCAAGCGCAAACUCCUCAGGGAAAGGGGUGUUAGUGGACAGAGCUGCUGAUGGUGGCCCUGUGCCUCGACGAGUUGGCCACUGGUUCCUCUCUUCAGAAGAAGAGCAGGUGAGAGGGUUUGGACCUGCAGGUGUUGCUGCACCACGGGGAGGUCCCAGGAGAGGUGGGGACUUGUUUGUCAGGGCUGUCCCAGGGCUUUCCAUUUCUCCCAGCCAGAGUGUGCCCAUCCCUGCCUAGGCUAAGGUGUGUGGUGGGGAAGGACUUGGGCUCCAACACCCAAGCUGUUGCUUCCAUUCCCAUGUUGCCAGUGCAGAGCUGGGAACUUGCUCAGGACAGUGCUCUUUAAAUAAGCCUCUUGCUGCCAAACAACUCGUGCAGCUUCCCAAGCCCUUGAGGUGCCUUUCUCUGAGCAGCUGCAGGCCAUCCCACAGACGGAACAGAAUUCAGCUUCCAGCCUCAGCUCAUGGCAGGUCCAGGGUUGGGCUUUUAUCUCCAUAUCCUGUCACAAAGGAGCCUUUUGUCUGGAUGUUGUGCUCCAUUUCAUGCAUGGCUCUCUCUCCCUUUCCCUUUCCAUCCCAUCAUUGAGCAGGUGAAGGCAUCGGGCUCUUGGGACCCGGUGUCCAGCCCUCCCAGCCGGCGCAGCUCUGCCGAGGAGAACGUCCUUGCUGGCAGCCGCCACGAUGCCCAUGUUGGCCGUCGGAGACAAAGUCUGGGAGCUCAAUCCCCGAGUCCUUCCACCCCGGAGCUCCUGCGGCCCCAAAC
rnacentral:lncRNA from 1 species